CCUACGGGAGGCAGCAGUGAGGAAUAUUGGUCAAUGGCCGCAGGGCUGAACCAGCCAAGUCGCGUGAGGGAUGACGGUCCUAUGGAUUGUACACCUCUUUUGUCAGGGAGCAAAGGGCGCCACGUGUGGCGCUUUGCGAGUACCUGAAGAAAACGCAUCGGCUAACUCCGUGCCAGCAGCCGCGGUAAUACGGAGGAUGCGAGCGUUAUCCGGAUUUAUUGGGUUUAAAGGGAGCGUAGAUGGGUUGGUAAGUCAUUUGUGAAAGUUUGCGGCUCAACCGUAAAAUUGCAAUUGAUACUGGCAGUCUUGAGUACAGUUGAGGUAGGCGGAAUUCGUGGUGUAGCGGUGAAAUGCUUAGAUAUCACGAAGAACCCCGAUUGCGAAGGCAGCUUACUAAACUGUGACUGACAUUGAUGCUCGAAAGUGUGGGUAUCAAACAGGAUUAGAUACCCUAGUAGUC
rnacentral:rRNA from 1 species